AAACUGGAGAGUUUGAUCCUGGCUCAGAGCGAACGCUGGCGGCGUGCUUAACACAUGCAAGUCGAGGGAGAAUGGAGGGCUUCGGCCUUCUUAGUAAACCGGCGCACGGGUGAGUAACACGUAGGUAACCUACCUCCGAGUUCGGGAUAACCUGUCGAAAGAUAGGCUAAUACCGGAUAAGACCACGAUGGCUUCGGCCACUGCGGUCAAAGAUGGCCUCUAUUUAUAUGCUAUCGCUUGGGGAUGGGCCUGCGCACCAUUAGCUAGUUGGUGAGGUAAUGGCUCACCAAGGCUACGAUGGUUAGUUGGUCUGAGAGGAUGACCAGCCACACUGGGACUGAGACACGGCCCAGACUCCUACGGGAGGCAGCAGUGGGGAAUA
rnacentral:rRNA from 1 species